rnacentral:tRNA from 1 species
UAAGGUUUAGGUUAACCAAACCAACUGCCUUCAAAGCAGUCAAUAGGUGUAAUCACCCACUUAACCUUAA